UAGCUAGAGUCUGGGAGGGGAAGAUGGAAUUAGUGGUGUAGGGGUAAAAUCCGUAGAGAUCACUAGGAAUACCAAAAGCGAAGGCGAUCUUCUGGAAUAGUACUGACGCUGAGGCGCGAAAGCGUGGGGAGCAAACAGGAUUAGAUACCCUGGUAGUCCACGCCCUAAACUAUGAAUGUUAGUCGUCGGGAAGCUUGUCUUCUCGGUGAUGCAGCUAACGCAUUAAACAUUCCGCCUGGGGAGUACGGUCGCAAGAUUAAAACUCAAAGGAAUAGACGGGGACCCGCACAAGUGGUGGAGCAUGUGGUUUAAUUCGAAGAUACGCGAAGAACCUUACCUGGCCUUGACAUUUUAGAAUCUGCUAGAGAUAGUGGAGUGCCCUUCGGGGAGCUUGAAAACAGGUGCUGCACGGCUGUCGUCAGCUCGUGUCGUGAGAUGUUGGGGUUAAGUCCCGCAACGAGCGCAACCCUCGUCACUAGUUACUAACGGUUCGGCCGAGGACUCUAGUGAGACUGCCUUCGUAAGGAGGAGGAAGGUGAGGACGACGUCAAGUCAUCAUGGCCCUUACGGCCAGGGCGACACACGUGCUACAAUGGGAUGUACAAUGAGACGCAAUACCGCGAGGUGGAGCAAAUCUAUAAAGCAUCUCUCAGUUCGGAUUGUAGUCUGCAACUCGACUACAUGAAGCUGGAAUCACUAGUAAUCGUAGAUCAGCCAUGCUACGGUGAAUACGUUCCCGGGUCUUGUACUCACCGCCCGUCACACCAUGGGAGUUGAUUUCACCCGAAGCGGGGAAGCUAAAUUGGCUACCCUCCACGGUGGGAUCAGCGACUGGGGUGAAGUCGUAACAAGGUAACCGUAGGAGAACCUGCGGUUG
rnacentral:rRNA from 1 species